AUCCGGGACAUGCAGCUCUCCGGAAACUCAAUCAGCUGGCCGUAUGUCCCAGGACA
ensembl:miRNA